rnacentral:rRNA from 1 species
GUGUCAGCCGCCGCGGUAAUACCAGCUCUCCGAGUGGUGGGGAUGAUUAUUGGGCUUAAAGCGUCCGUAGCCAGCUCUUUAAGUCUUUCGUUAAAUCCAACGAUUCAAUCGUUGGGCUGCGGGAGAUACUGCUGAGCUAGGAGGCGGGAGAAGUCGACGGUAUUUCCGGGGUAGGAGUGAAAUCCUAUAAUCCCGGGAGGACCACCAGUGGCGAAGGCGGUCGACUAGAACGCGCUCGACGGUGAGGGACGAAAGCUGGGGGAGCGAACCGGAUUAGAUACCCGGGUAGUCCCAGCUGUAAACGAUGCGGGCUAGGUGUUAGGGUGGCUACGAGCCACUCUAGUGCCGCAGGGAAACUGUUAAGCCCGCCGCCUGGGGAGUACGGCCGCAAGGCUGAAACUUAAAUGAAUUGACGGGG